rnacentral:tRNA from 1 species
GCCGACUUAGCUCAGCUGGUAGAGCAACGCAUUCGUAAUGCGUGGGUCGGAAGUUCGAGUCUUCUAGUCGGCACCA